rnacentral:ncRNA from 1 species
UUGAACCGAGCCUUUUCCGAAAGACUUUUCACCCAAAAUAACCGCACGCUUAUGGUCUUGUAAUGCUCCGGCAACAAUUUCUGAUGCCGAGGCCGAUCCGUCGUUAAUCAUAACUACAAUCGGCAGACCAUUGACAAUAUCCCCCUCGGUUGCGGUGUAUUUUAACGUGUCUUCCUCAUUACGAGCACGGGUAGAAACAAUUUCUCCCUCGUUUAGGAACAAAUCAGAAACCGCAACAGCUUGGUCCAACAGUCCUCCCGGGUUGUUACGA